rnacentral:rRNA from 1 species
GACACGACUCUCGGCAACAGAUAUCUCGGCUCUCGCAUCGAUGAAGAACGUAGCGAAAUGCGAUACCUGGUGUGAAUUGCAGAAUCCCGCGAACCAUCGAGUCUUUGAACGCAAGUUGCGCCCGAGGCCACCCGGUCGAGGGCACGCCUGCCUGGGCGUCACG